CUUCCAAGUAGCUGGGACUACAGAAGUGCACCACCACACCUGGCUAAUUUUUUGUAUUUUUAGUGGAGAUGGGGUUUCACCAUAUUAGCCAGGCUGGUCUCAAACUCCUGACCUCAGGUGAUCCACUCACCUUGGCCUCCCAAAGUGCUGGGAUUACAGGAAUGAGCCACCAUGCCUGGCCUGGUAUCAAGUAUUUUAAACCUUUGAUAUUUGACAAACUUUCCAAAAUCAAAUUAUACAUUAUGUCAUUUCUGACCUAAUUAAUCCUUUAAGAUAUUAUUAAUAGGAUCCCUAAAGUCAAAAAAUGACAUGUUUGGCUUAUUUGAUAUAGAAAUUAUACAGGAAGCAUUGUCAAAUAUGAAAUGGUAUUUGGUUUUUCUUUGGGCCGUAUUUGUAUAAAUAUGUUGCUGGUAUGUGUUCCAAAAUUAUGGGAAACUCCUAUAAUUCUGAUAUGACUUAGUGUAUGUUAUCAGUAAUAAUUAUAAUUGUUAUGUUAAAUUAUUGUGUGACACAGAGGUAACAAAUUUCCUUGUCAAUUGUGUCUUUGACUACGGCUGCCCUUCUUGUCUUGUUUUGGUCCUCUUUAGAAGGUGGUUUUAUAAUCAGCUAUAAAACUCUUAACAGGUGCUCUUGAAUGCAGUUUUCUGAUAGCUUUGGAGAUUGUGACAUCAGAAUAGAGGAGAAACUUUCAGGGCUCAUAGAGAGUUGAAAUGCUCCUGAAUAACAAACAGAAUAGGAAUUAAGUGCAUGGACUAAACUAAUAGAAUAAAACGUUGCUGAUCCUUUGUUUUGUUUUUCAGAGUCAAAAAGACUUUUAAGCUAUUUACAGCUUUUAACAAUUGAGUAAAGUAUAUUCCCUUUGUUUCUCUCUACCUGAUUUCUACAUAAUUUGGGAACUAUUUGUGAAUAUUCUUUUUUUUUUUUUUUUUUUUGAGAUGGAGGCUUGCUCUGUCACCCAGGCUGGAGAGCAAUGACACGAUCUCAGCUCACUGCAACCUCCGCCUCUCGGGUUCAGGCAAUUCUGCUGCCUCAGCCUCCCGAGUAGCUAGGACUACAGGCACCCACCACCACGCCUGGCUAAUUUUUAUAUUUUUAGUAGAGGCGGGGUUUCACCAUAUUGGCCAGGCUGGUCUCAAACUCCUGAUCUUGUGAUCCACUCGCCUCGGCGUCCCAAAGUGCUGGGAUUACAGGUGUGAGCCACUGCACCUGGCCUGUGAGUAUUCUUAAUUUAUGAUAAUAGUUAUUUGCAUAAGUACAAUAAGAAUCUGUUUUCAUUUGUAACAGGACACAAUUGGAGAAACUGGUUAUUUUACCAAGGCUUUGACUGGAAUGGUGUGCUUUCCUUUAAGGAAUCAAACUUGACUUAUGGAGCCAAUAUAAGCCCCUUGGAAAAACUGGCCUUAUAUCUUUGUCUACACAGUCCCUGUACAGGGUUCCUGACCUGUGGUAAGUAAAGAAUGUCACUUUCUGACAGGCUCAGGAGCCCCAAGUUUAUCUUGGAACCUGAAGAAGAGAGGAAUUCACCCAACUCAUAAGUAUUUGAUGGUCCAAAUCCAUGGCUGGGCUCAGCUUUAAAAAAGUCUUAUGUGAGAUUCCUUCUAUGGAACAAAAUUCCAUCAAAGCCAAUUUAAAAGCCUAUGUAAAAAAUAAAUAAUUAUUCUUGCUGCACUAUAUACAAAUAAUCAAGCCAAGUAUAAUAAAGCAAAUCAGUCCUACCAUGAUUUGUCUUUUGUAAAAAUGGAAAACUAGAGAGAGAAAAAUUAUAUUUCAAAAACUGUAGUACACUUAAUAUGGUUUGGCUGUGUCCCCACCCAAAUCUCAUCUUGAAUUGUAGCUCCCAUAAUUCCCACACGUUGUGGGAAGGACCUGGUGGGAGAUAAUUGAAUCAUGUUGUGGGGGGCAGUUUCCCCCAUACUGUUCUCAUGGUAGUGAAUAAGUCUCAUGAGAUCUGAUGGUUUUAUAAGUGGAAAUCCCUUUUGCAUGGUUCUAAUUUUCUCUUGUCUGCCGCCAUGUAGGACAUGACUUUUGCCUUCUGCCAUGAUUGUGAGACCUCCCCAGCCACAUGAAACUGUGAGUCCGUUAAACCCCUUUUUCUUUGUAAAUUACCCAGUCUUGGGUAUGUCUUUAUCAGCAGCAUGAAAAUGGAUGAAUACAACACCUGUUGUUAGAUUCUAGUCUUGUCUAAUGUUUUUCAAUUUUUAUUAUUUUCUACAGUUUGGACUGAAUUCUAAUUUUUCUUGGCUACAAGCCUGCAAAAUAAUGUUUUCCAUUUUUUCCUUCUUUUUUUCCCCCAUUUUUCCUAAUUUGGAACCACCAAAAACUAAGCUGUGCUUUUGUAAAGCCCUGUGAACUGAAGCUAGACAACUAAACUUCAGAAGAAAGUAACAGCAACCUGUUUACAUACAUAAGCCACUUUCAUACCUGCCUACUGAUAUAUGGACUUCAUAGUAAUGUGGCCUAUAUUGAUUUCCCAGGAUUGUUCUUUAGUUUGAUGUUGCUUUUCUCCCUUCCUCCCCCUAUUUUCUCUUCAUAGAAUAUAAGACUUCACAACCUGCUGAAAAUGAGCUUUCCUAAUAACUCGGGACCUACCUGUCUAGGAAUAAACCAUCCUAAACAUGAAAGAUCAGAGAAAAUGUGAGACCAGAGACUCAUUUUCUUCUAAAGUCCUUUCUCCAAAAGAUUUUUAAAAAGAUAAAGGGGGAAAUUUGAAAGGAAAAUAAAUCUUGGGGCCCCCAAAUCACUAAGCUAAAGGGAAAAGUCAAGCUGGGAACUGCUUAGGGCCAACCUGCCUCCCAUUCUAUUCAAAGUCACCCCUCUGCUCACUGAGAUAAAUGCAUAUCUGGUUGCCUUCUUUGGAAAGGCUAAUCAGAAACUCAGAAGAAAUGCAACCAUCUGUCCCUUAUCUGCCUAUGACCUGGAAGCCCCCUCCCCACUUUGAGUCCUCCCGCCUUUGCUUUGAGUUGUCCCGCCUUUCCAGACCGAGCCAAUGUUUAUCUUCUAUAUGUUGAUUGAUGUCUCAUGUCUCCCUAGAAUUUAUAAAACCAAACUGUGCUCUGAUCACCUUUGACACAUGUCUUCAGGACCUCCUGAGGCUGUGUCAUGGGCAUGCAUCCUCAAUCUUGGCAAAAUAAACUUUCUAAAUUAG
rnacentral:lncRNA from 1 species